rnacentral:rRNA from 1 species
UACGUAGGUGGCAAGCGUUGUCCGGAUUUACUGGGCGUAAAGAGCGCGCAGGCGGUCGUACAAGUCGCGUGUGAAAGCCCCCGGCUCAACUGGGGAGGGUCACGCGAUACUGUUCGACUCGAAGGCAGGAGAGGGAAGCAGAAUUCCCGGUGUAGUGGUGAAAUGCGUAGAUAUCGGGAGGAACACCGGUGGCGCAGGCGGUCCCCUGGGCCGAGGCCGACGCUGAGGCGCGAGAGCGUGGGGAGCGAACCGG